GGUGUGUCAUUCAUAUGG
rnacentral:siRNA from 1 species